ACUCAAAUGAAUUGACGGGGGCCCGCACAAGCGGUGGAGCAUGUGGUUUAAUUCGACGCAACGCGAAGAACCUUACCUGGGCUCGAAAUGUUAUGGACCGGAGUGGAAACAUUCCUUCCCCGCAAGGGGCCGUAAUAUAGGUGCUGCAUGGCUGUCGUCAGCUCGUGUCGUGAGAUGUUGGGUUAAGUCCCGCAACGAGCGCAACCCUUAUCUUCAGUUGCUACCAUUUAGUUGAGCACUCUGACGAAACCGCCUCGGAUAACGGGGAGGAAGGUGGGGAUGACGUCAAGUCCUCAUGGCCUUUAUGUCCAGGGCUACACACGUGCUACAAUGGCCGGUACAAACCGUCGCAAACCCGUGAGGGGGAGCUAAUCGGAAAAAGCCGGCCUCAGUUCGGAUCGUAGUCUGCAACUCGACUACGUGAAGCUGGAAUCGCUAGUAAUCGCGGAUCAGAAUGCCGCGGUGAAUACGUUCCCGGGCCUUGUACACACCGCCCGU
rnacentral:rRNA from 1 species